rnacentral:lncRNA from 1 species
UCCCCACAGAGAGUGAAGGGACAGCUCAAGGCCACUGGGGAGCUCACACCCACCGAGGCUUCAUUGUCAAAAACAUCCUGGAGGGUUCUGGGUCACUAAGUCCAAAGUGGACCCAAGAAUCUGCAUUUGCUAAGUACUGACAGGCCCCAUCAAUUCAGUUAGGUUUGGAGUAGUUACUGAGAGGCCAACCUACCCCCUCAAUGUUUAAUGGGGGAACAGGAUACUGGUGCCUGUGAAAGGCUUGGGCAAGGUGCCCUGAAGUCCUCCCAGUUUCAGGGUAAGCACCCUCUCUGCUCCUGGGGAAAUUCUCCUGCUGCCUUAGCUGGGGACUUUUCCUGCAAACAUCGGAGAGUGGCAGCCAGCCCCGCUGGCCAGUGCGGGACAGUGGCUUCCCUGGCUGUGCCCACUGACUCCUGGCCCUUUGUCUUGUGGGCCCUUCCCUGGAACUGUUUAGAAGGAGGUAAGAGCACUUCUGGGUUUUCUUCUUUCCUCUUCUCUAAAGGAAGGGGAAGAAUUAUAGGUAGAGGUCUCUCGGGGGUUGGUCCUUGGAGUUGAAAAGUGACUCUUCCAGUUUUUCAAGAAUGGGAAGCCUACUUUGAUCAGGAGGCAGUGACUCUGAGCUGUUCUCUGGACCCUGCUAAAUGUGAUGAUUCGGCUCAGCUCUGGGGCCCUCACACAUGGUAUCAGGACCAAGCCAUGCUGGAAAGACUACUUUUGAGCUUUCCAUAAGUCAGCCCUGUCUCUAUGCAGCUGGGGCCUCCUCUCCAUCUGAGCACUUUUCAGGAGAGAGUAGGAGGGUCCUAGAUGCCACUGCAGGGCACAGCUGACACUCCAAUCAGGCCAGGGACAAAGGCUGGCUCUUUGCACCCACAUCCUCCACAAUGGCUGCCAGAGAGUGGGGGAGCAUGUUGUGCUGCUGGCCAAGGAUGGUUCUACACAGCCUUUGGAAUGGCUUGGCUUUGCUCUGGACUCCAGAGCUUGAGCAGGAGACACCUCAGAGGUCAGACUCUCAGGAACAGAGGGAGAGGGGGUCCCCACACAGAGAAUCUCUGACCUGCCCCCCAGACACCUCCAUGGGGUCACAGGAGGGGACCCCAUGCAAAUGUCUGGCCACCCUCACUGUGGCCCCAGUACACUCCCCAGGACCUGACUCUGCCCCUGGUGGAGCUUGGGUGGGGCUCAGCAGCAAGACUGGAGGAGAGGGGACAGGAGCUCCACUGACUAGUGUGUCUUUGAUUAGAGUUUAUCUCCCUGGACCUACCCACCCUCAGUGCCGUGGGUCCCUCUCAGUGGCUCUGUAAAUGCAUGAGUGAAUGAAUGAAUGAAUGAUGGCAUGAGUAAGUGAGCAAGAGAGGGAAGGCUUUCCUUUGACCUGGUGGAAGCCCAUUCUGCCACACAAGGGUGAUGGGCUCAGCCAAGACCCAGUGUCUGCUUCCUGCUCUCCCUGCUAUUCAGAACAGGAAGAGUCCCCAGCCUCCCUCUCAGGGCCCUGUUCUUGGGUCUCGGGAGGCCUCAGUGUCUGGGGGACUGGGUCCUUCCCCUCUGAUCUCCUUCCCUGCAUUCUCCUGCCACCUGGUACUCAUGUCCUCCUGUCCUGUACCUAAUCCCUUCUCUGCAGAAGCUCAUCCUUAACCGGCCUCUGCACACACACACACACACACACACACACACACACNNNNNNNNNNNNNNNNNNNNNNNNNNNNNNNNNNNNNNNNNNNNNNNNNNUUCCUGGAAUAAUGUGGAGGCCUUGAUUCUCUGCCACACUUAGCCCAGGUUCCAGUUCUCCCACCACGUGCUAACAUUCUACUCACACUAGGGCCAAACAACCCCUGUGUGAAUGAUUUUAAGGCACAAAGGCCCUAGGACCUAAAAAAUAAAACAUGUAGGAACUAAAAGAAAAGCCCUGGC